CCCUUAGAUGUCCUGGGCCGCACGCGCGUUACACUGAUGCAUUCAACGAGCUUAUAACCUUGGCCGAGAGGCCUGGGCAAUCUUGUUAACGUGCAUCGUGAUAGGGAUAGAUUAUUGAAAUUAUUAAUCUUGAACGAGGAAUUCCUAGUAAACGCAGAUCAUCAAUCUGCAUUGAUUACGUCCCUGCCCUUUGUACACACCGCCCGUCGCACCUACCGAUUGGAUGGUCCGGUGAAGCCUCGGGAUUGUGGUUCUUGCCGCUUUAUUGUGGCUUGACCGCGAGAACUUGUCUAAACCUUAUCAUCUAGAGGAAGGUGAAGUCGUAACA
rnacentral:rRNA from 1 species